AUUGAACGCUGGCGGCAUGCCUUACACAUGCAAGUCGAACGGCAGCACGGGAGCAAUCCUGGUGGCGAGUGGCGAACGGGUGAGUAAUAUAUCGGAACGUGCCCAGUCGUGGGGAUAACGUAGCGAAAGCUACGCUAAUACCGCAUACGAUCUAUGGAUGAAAGCGGGGGAUCGCAAGACCUCGCGCGAUUGGAGCGGCCGAUAUCAGAUUAGGUAGUUGGUGAGGUAAAGGCUCACCAAGCCGACGAUCUGUAGCUGGUCUGAGAGGACGACCAGCCACACUGGGACUGAGACACGGCCCAGACNCCUACGGAGGCAGCAGUGGGAAUUUUGGACAAUGGACGCAAGUCUGAUCCAGCCAUUCCGCUGCAGGAUGAAGGCCCUC
rnacentral:rRNA from 1 species